UACGUAGGGUCCGAGCGUUGUCCGGAAUUACUGGGCGUAAAGAGCUCGUAGGUGGUUUGUCGCGUUGUUCGUGAAAACUCACAGCUCAACUGUGGGCGUGCGGGCGAUACGGGCAGACUUGAGUACUGCAGGGGAGACUGGAAUUUACGGUGUAGCAGUGAAAUGCGUAGAGAUCGUAAGGAAGACCAGUGGCGAAGGCGGGUCUCUGGACAGUUCCUGACACUGAGGCACGAAGGCCAGGGGAGCAAACGGG
rnacentral:rRNA from 1 species